rnacentral:rRNA from 1 species
UACGUAGGUGGCAAGCGUUGUCCGGAAUUAUUGGGCGUAAAGCGCGCGCAGGCGGCCUCUUAAGUCUGAUGUGAAAGCCCACGGCUCAACCGUGGAGGGUCAUUGGAAACUGGGGGACUUGAGUACAGAAGAGAAGAGUGGAAUUCCACGUGUAGCGGUGAAAUGCGUAGAGAUGUGGAGGAACACCAGUGGCGAAGGCGACUCUUUGGUCUGUAACUGACGCUGAGGCGCGAAAGCGUGGGGAGCAAACAGG